GUAGGGUGCGAGCGUUAUCCGGAAUCAUUGGGCGUAAAGAGCUCGUAGGCGGUUCAGCAAGUCGGCUGUGAAAUUCCGAGGCUCAACCUCGGAACUGCAGUCGAUACUGCUGUGACUCGAGUCCGGUAGAGGAGAAUUGAAUUCCCGGUGUAGCGGUGAAAUGCGCAGAUAUCGGGAGGAACACCAGUAGCGAAGGCGGUUCUCUGGGCCGGCACUGACGCUGAGGAGCGAAAGCGUGGGGUAGCAAACAGGAUUAGAUACCCUGGUAGUCCACGCCCGUAAACGUUGGAUACUAGGUGUGGGGUUCCGACCAACGGUCCCCGUGCCGAAGCUAACGCAUUAAGUAUCCCCGCCUGGGGAUACGGCCGCAAGGCUA
rnacentral:rRNA from 1 species